rnacentral:lncRNA from 1 species
CUAAAAUACUUUUAAUAAGUAUUUACGAAUUCUACUGAUGCAGUUAUAACAUUAAAACGUGCCCUUUUGUAAUUUUCAUGCCAUAAAUUAAAAAAGGAAAUCCCAUUUAAACUGUUUUUUUUUACACCAGAAAACAGGGACGUUCCCUGAAAGCAGGGAAUACAUGUAUCCCACAUUUCCUGACUUGUGCCCAACCUGUUCAAAGACAAAGCAGAUAGAUUUUAAAGCACGAUUCAGACCAUUUUUAC